GGUCUGGUAGGUAUAGCUCUUUUUGUAAUCUGAUAUUUGAACCCAGGUCUGGUAGGUACAGCUCUUUUUGUAGUCUGAUAUUUGAACCCAGGUCUGGUAGGUAUAGCUCUUUUUGUAGUCUGAUAUUUGAACCCAGGUCUGGUAGGUAUAGCUCUUUUUGUAAUCUGAUAUUUGAACCCAGGUCUGGUAGGUACAGCUCUUUUUGUAGUCUGAUAUUUGAACCCAGGUCUGGUAGGUAUAGCUCUUUUUGUAGUCUGAUAUUUGAACUCAGGUCUGGUAGGUAUAGCUCUUUUUGUAGUCUGAUAUUUGAAGCCAGGUCUGGUAGGUAUAGCUCUUUUUGUAGUCUGAUAUUUGAACCCAGGUCUGGUAGGUAUAGCUCUUUCUGAAGACUGAUAUUUGAACCCAGGUCUGGUAGGUAUAGCUCUUUUUGAAGACUGAUAUUUGAACCCAGGUCUGGUAGGUAUAGCUCUUUCUGAAGACUGAUAUUUGAACCCAGGUCUGGUAGGUACAGACUAAGUCACACAUCAUUUACAGCUGUACAGUAAAGCGGCGUGUUGAGCAUCCCACCAUUUCCAUGGACAGUUGAGUCAGAUUGAAGAGCAGCACAUGGCAGCACACCUCGCUGCGUUUAUUGACAGUGAUCAGAGGAGGACAUCAGGGAAAGUUCUAGAAGUAAAGCUAUUGGAUAUAAAAUCUGUUUUACAUUAUCAUGACUCCACUUUAAGUUGAUUACACUGGUUUUUACUUCCUUCAACAAAUCACUCAACAUGAACAUGUUAUUUCUACUAGAACAAAGGUC